AUUGAACGCUGGCGGCAGGCUUAACACAUGCAAGUCGAGCGAGCGGCGGACGGGUGAGUAAUGUCUGGUAAACUGCCUGAUGGAGGGGGAUAACUACUGGAAACGGUAGCUAAUACCGCAUACCCUCAGAUGUGCCCAGAUGGGAUGAGCUAGUAGGUGGGGUAUUGGCUCACCUAGGCGACGAUCCCGAGCUGGUCUGAGAGGGUGACCAGCCACACUGGAACUGAGACACGGCCCAGACUCCUACGGGAGGCAGCAGUGGGGAAUAUUGCACAAUGGGCGCAAGCCUGAUGCAGCCAUGCCGCGUGUGUGAAGAAGGCCUUCGGGUUGUAAAGCACUUUCAGCGAGGAGGCGUUACUCGCAGAAGAAGCACCGGCUAACUACGUGCCAGCAGCCGCGGUAAUUC
rnacentral:rRNA from 1 species